GACGAACGCUGGCGGCGUGCCUAAUACAUGCAAGUCGAACGCAGUGGGUACGGGUUAGUAACCCGUGGGUAACCUCCCCAUCAGCUGGGAUAACACUUGGAAACAGGUGCUAAACCGAUACUGCGCGAUGCACCAGCGGUGCAUUAGCUAGUUGGUGAGGUAACGGCUCACCAAGGCAACGAUGCAUAGCCGACCUGAGAGGGUGAUCGGCCACACUGGGACUGAGACACGGCCCAGACUCCUACGGGAGGCAGCAGUAGGGAAUCUUCGGCAAUGGGCGAAAGGCUGACGGAGCAACGCCGCGUGAGUGAAGAAGGUUUUCGGAUCGUAAAACUCUGUUGUUAGAGAAGCGGUAUCUAACCAGAAAGCCACGGCUAACUACGUGCCAGCAGCCGCGGUAAUAC
rnacentral:rRNA from 1 species